GGCGCCUCUGCCCGGCCGCCCCUACUGGGAAGUGAGGAGCCCCUCUGCCCGGCCAGCCGCCCCGUCCGGGAGGGAGGUGGGGGGGUCAGACCCCCGCCCGGCCAGCCGCCCUGUCCGGGAGGGAGGUGGGGGGGUCAGCCCUCCGCCCGGCCAGCCGCCCCGUCUGGGAGGUGAGGGGCGCCUCUGCCCGGCCGCCCCUACUGGGAAGUGAGGAGCCCCUCUGCCCAGCCAGCCGCCCCGUCCGGGAGGGAGGUGGGGGGGUCAGCCCCCCGCCCGGCCAGCCGCCACGUCCGGGAGGGAGGUGGGGGGGGGUCAGCCCCCCCGCCCGGCCAGCCGCCCCGUCCGGGAGGUGAGGGGCGCCUCUGCCCGGCCAGCCGCCCCGUCCGGGAGGGAGGUGGGGGGGGUCAGCCCCCCGCCCGGCCAGCCGCCCCGUCCGGGAGGGAGGUGGGGGGGGUCAGCCCCCCCGCCCAGCCAGCCGCCCUGUCCGGGAGGUGAGGGGCGCCUCUGCCCGGCCGCCCCUACUGGGAAGUGAGGAGCCCCUCUGCCCGGC
rnacentral:lncRNA from 1 species